CUGGCAUACGUACUGGUGGGAGCAUUUAUAGAGUUCGCAUUUUCUCACAAGGAAGCUAUUCAACCAAGAGUUCCAAAUGGUGAAGUUGAAAUCAUCCCUUCGUUAAUUUUUUUUUUGGACGGCAUCACGAAUUGGUUGACCGUUAUGGAAUGUGUACUUGUACGUUGUCUAAGAAUGUAUGAAAUUUGUCAUCAGAAGGAGCGUCAGACAAUGUCAAACGUGAAGCGGUCAUCGAAUUCAUUUAGACAAAGGCCUGAAUGGUAACCCGAAACAUUGGGAUAGCCAUUUACCAAUUGCAAUAUCACUGGAUUUGUCUUUAUACUCUGUG
rnacentral:lncRNA from 1 species